rnacentral:rRNA from 1 species
UACGUAGGGUGCGAGCGUUGUCCGGAAUUAUUGGGCGUAAAGGGCUCGUAGGCGGUUUGUCGCGUCGGGAGUGAAAUCCACUGGCUUAACUGGUGGCUUGCUUUCGAUACGGGCAGACUGGAGGUAUGCAGGGGAGAACGGAAUUCCUGGUGUAGCGGUGAAAUGCGCAGAUAUCAGGAGGAACACCAAUUGCGAAGGCAGCCACUCUGGGACGUGACUGACGCUGAGACGCGAAAGCGUGGGGAGCAAACAGG